UACGUAGGCAGCAAGCGUUGUUCGGAGUUACUGGGCGUAAAGGGUGUGUAGGCGGUUGUUUAAGUUUGGUGUGAAAUCUCCCGGCUCAACCGGGGAGGGUCGUCGGAGACUGUGGAGCUUGAGGGCGGUAGGGGCUGGUGGAAUUCCCGGUGUAGUGGUGAAAUGCGUAGAGAUCGGGAGGAACACCCGUGGCGAAGGCGGCCAGCUGGGCCGACCCUGACGCUGAGGCGCGAAGGCGUGGGGAGCGAACGGG
rnacentral:rRNA from 1 species